rnacentral:misc_RNA from 1 species
GUUUAGUACGUCAGAGGUUUGAGACGUGCGGAUGCACUGUAUUUUUAGAAAGACGCCAUGUUGGACAAGAAAGAAAAGCUACUGAGGAGGGUUUUGUCGUACGAAAAGACGUCGUUUCGUCAUCUGUAGAACGGGCCAUCUCAUUCGAGCAGGUGCUAAAAUAGAUGCUAAAGACACUUUUAGCAACUCUCCCUGUCACUACGCGGCUGACGAUGGCUAUUGUCAAAUCCUGGACCGCUUAAUCCGACGUGGUGUCAACGUUAAUACUCAAGAUAUUACGUCAAAAACCCCAUUAAUGAAGGCCGUUAGAAACAACAAAACCGAUGCGGUGAUACGGCUCAUCAGAGCAAACUGCAACAUGAACAUCACGGACAGAAACUACGACAUGGCUUUACAUUAUGCUUCCAGGAAUGGGUGUGCUGACGUCAUCGAUAUCUUGAUUUCCGCGGGAAGUUUGAUCGACGUACAGAAUUACUGGGGCCGUACACCACUGAUGGAGGCGGUGUGCUACAAUCAUAAGGAAGCCGUGGCCAGGCUUCUCAAAGCAAAUUGUGAUCUAAAUCGACGAGAAUUCAAAACCGGAGACACAGCACUGCACAUUGCGAUAAAACGAAACUAUACAGAUGUAGUGGGACUACUUUUAAAAGCCGGAAGUCGACACGAUAUUUACAAUCAUCAGAGUGAAACGGCUGCGUAUGACGCUGUUGUAAGCAACAAAACUGAGAUCAUUCAACUGAUGGUUAUUCAUAACUGCGAUUUAGAACAACCUGGGAAAUACUUCUCAAACGGUGUGUAUAAAUCUUUGUUUCAAAUCGCUUCAGAGAGAGGCCAUUUUACGAUCUGCAGACUUUUGGCGGUUCAUGGUUAUGUGGAUUACAGAGCCCGGAUGUACUUCCACCAAAGUUAUAUCCCUCCGCGAUUGGUACCAGAGGCUGAGCACGUUGUGAACUGGUUGAGGAAGAAAAUGCAAACAACUACCUCUCUGCAACAGCUUUGCAGGAAGUGCAUCCGCAAGAGAAUCGGUUACAAGAUAGCGGAGAGUGUAGAGGCCUUGCCUAUGCCAAGGGCGUUAAAGGAUUACGUCUUGAUCAAAGAUUUCAAUGAAAGUGACCAAAUGAACUUUAAAUGACAAAAACUUCAAAAAUAAUUGACAGUGGACAACGUUAUUGAGCAAUAUUGGCAUAUUGCAUUAAUAUAUUUCAUUGCAAUGCAAAUUGUUAAAGAUUUUAAACCACAUCCUCAUUAUUGUUAUAAAUUUUCUGCAUUAGAAAUAAAAUAAUAAUAGA